rnacentral:rRNA from 1 species
GACGAACGCUGGCGGCGUGCCUAAUACAUGCAAGUCGAGGGACCCGCGCGCGGGUGAGUAACACGUAUCCAUCCUGCCCUUUACUCGGGGAUAGCCUUUCGAAAGAGAGAUUAAUACCUGAUAUGAUGGAUGGGGAUGCGUUGCAUUAGGUUGUUGGUGAGGUAACGGCUAACCAAGCCUUCGCUGGAUAGGGGUUGGGGGAGGAAGGUCCCCCAGAUUGGAACUGAGACCCGGUCCAAAAUCCGACGCGGGGCAGGAGUGAGGAAUAUAGGUCAAGGGGCGCUAGCCUGAACCAGCCAAGUAGCGUGAAGGAGGAAGGGGUAUGGAUCGUCAACUUCUGUUAUAUAAGAAGAUGUAUUAUAUGAAGAAGGAUCGGCUAACUCCGUGCCAGCAGCCGCGGUAAUAC